rnacentral:rRNA from 1 species
GUAUGGUCGCAAGGCUGAAACUUAAAGAAAUUGACGGAAGGGCACCACCAGGGGUGGAACCUGCGGCUUAAUUUGACUCAACACGGGGAAACUCACCAGGUCCAGACACAGUGAGGAUUGACAGAUUGAGAGCUCUUUCUUGAUUCUGUGGGUGGUGGUGCAUGGCCGUUCUUAGUUGGUGGAGUGAUUUGUCUGCUUAAUUGCGAUAACGAACGAGACCUUAACCUGCUAAAUAGCCCGUACUGCUUUGGCAGUUCGCCGGCUUCUUAGAGGGACUAUCGGCUCAAGCCGAUGGAAGUUUGAGGCAAUAACAGGUC